rnacentral:tRNA from 1 species
GGGCGCUUGGCGCAGUUGGUUAGCGCGUCUCAGUGACAUUGAGAAGGUCAGAGGUUCAAAUCCUCUAGCGCCCA